rnacentral:rRNA from 1 species
GGCCCAGACUCCUACGGGAGGCAGCAGUGGGGAAUAUUGGGCAAUGGGCGCAAGCCUGACCCAGCAACGCCGCGUGAAGGAAGAAGGCUUUCGGGUUGUAAACUUCUUUUCUCGGGGACGAAGAAAGUGACGGUACCUGAGGAAUAAGCCACGGCUAACUACGUGCCAGCAGCCGCGGUAAUACGUAGGUGGCAAGCGUUAUCCGGAUUUAUUGGGUGUAAAGGGCGUGUAGGCGGGAGCGCAAGUCAGAUGUGAAAACUCAGGGCUCAACCCUGAGCCUGCAUUUGAAACUGUGUUUCUUGAGUGCUGGAGAGGCAAUCGGAAUUCCGUGUGUAGCGGUGAAAUGCGUAGAUAUACGGAGGAACACCAGUGGCGAAGGCGGAUUGCUGGACAGUAACUGACGCUGAGGCGCGAAAGCGUGGGGAGUAAACAGGAUUAGAUACCGGUACGA